GGGAAAGCAAUUACACGGGAAGAAAAGUGCAAACGUAAGGCAGCAGAAUUGCAGAACACAGAGAGAGGGAGCCAUAAGUGAUAAGCAACGUGGAAGAAAAGGACAGAAUGGGACAGAAAGAAGACAAAAAGUGGUGCUGUGAAAGGAAGCAGGAAGAGCGAGAUAUCAGACUUUUCCAAACCCAGCAAGCAGGCACCAAGAUUACUACGACAUGACCAAGAGGAGCAACAAAGGGAUUGAAUAGAAGAACACUUUAAAGUCAUUUAACAUGUGUAGGGGUGAGUGUGAGAAAGAUAAAGCAGGGGGCAGCUGUGCCCAAAGGGGGAGAUGGUGGUUUCGGAAUGUGGUCCAAAACAAAAACGAGUUCGCAACGAAGGGGGAAAAAAAGAGAUCUGAACAAGCAGGAAGAACAAGCAGUUGUUGACGGUAGGAGGAAGAAAUGCAAGACAACAUGCCUGGCGCGAAGAGGAACUUCCAAAGGCAACGUGCAUUGCAAAACACACAUGGCGUGCGUGUGUGUUAGCAUCGGUCUGGACUGAUUUCACUCUGCAGUGCAGGAGUUUCAAGAAAAGGGAAUAAUGCAAAAUCGAGUGCACAGAGGAGUCCUAUUGAAGCCUGGAGGACCAGCGGAUAGGAUAAUUAAUGCAAAAUGACUGAUGGCUGUUGAAGAAGGCAAGCCCUGCAAAGAGGAUUGUGCGUGAUCAAUGAAGCAUCACUGACUGACAGUUUCCUUCGAUCUUACACCCAGAUCCAACUACCGGAACGAGGAUUUGUCACCAGAGACGGGAGGCGACUCUAUACAUGCUUGCAAUGCAAGGCAAAACGCAAAAAAAGGGAGCAGAAAGACGCAUCUUUUAAAAGUAAUUUUAUGUAAAACAGGAGAACAUGCGGAGGAAAGGACGGGUAGAAAAAAGUAGUUUUCAAUUACAUCUGAGAUUGGAAAUGACUGUUGCCGGCGUUAUAUUUAAUGUAUAUAUUUAAACUUUGCAAUAUAUAGUUCACAAGAUUUUACCCAAACGCCCGUUUUGUUAUUUUUGUGUAGAUCGACUACACAGGCGGGAGCUGCAGAGAUAAAUAAACAUUAACCGUGUUAAAAUCUACAGCACCAGCAUCAAGUUUAUCCCUGGCAGGAAUUGUCCAUUUUAGGCCGGCUUCGUGAAUUCAGAACCGACCAAGCAGUGAGCUCUGAGCUUCGGGGUCUGAUUCGGGAACCUUGACCGUCAGAAAGCAGUUUAAUGCGAUUUUUAAAAAGUGCAUUUCAGAGGGAAAAUAACGCCGGUUUUUUUUUCAAAUUUUAAAACUGACAUUCAAAUAAGGCACGGCUCCAGCCAGCUCGUCUGCUGCAUGAUUUUCGAGAGAGAUUGUAAAAAGAGCCUCGGAAGAAGAGAGAGACUGUUACUUUAAUCCGCCGAGCUUUAAGGGAAUGUGAGAAAUCUCUCUAAUAGGGUCCUGCAUCUGUGCUGUAUUAUAAACUGUUGAGGUCACCCUCGUAAACGGAAGGAGCGAUUGGCCCGGCUGCCUCAUUACCAUGCAUUUUAUGGAAAAAACGUAAAAAUAAACGGGGCUCGAAAAGA